GGAAAGGAAAGGAAAGGAAAGGAAAGGAAAGGAAAGAAAAGGAAAGGAAAGGAAAGGAAAGGAAAGGAGAGGAGAGGAAAGGAAAAAGGAAAGGAAAGGAAAGGAAAGGAAAGGAAAGGAAAGGAAAGGAAAGGAAAGGAAAGGAAGGAAAGGAAAGGAAAGGAAAGGAAAGGAAAGGAAAGGAAAGGAAAGGAAAGGAAAGGN
rnacentral:lncRNA from 1 species